rnacentral:rRNA from 1 species
UACGUAGGUGGCAAGCGUUAUCCGGAAUUACUGGGCGUAAAGCGCACGCAGGCGGUCUUGUAAGUUUGACGUGAAAGCUCCCGGCUUAACUGGGAGAGGUCGUUGAAGACUGCAAGACUUGAGGAAAUGAGAGGGGUGUAGAAUUCCCGGUGUAGUGGUGGAAUGCGUAGAUAUCGAGAGGAACACCUGCGGCGAAGGCGGGUUGCUGGGCUGACACUGACGUGAUGCGCGAAAGCUAGGGGAGCGAACGGG